UACAGAGGUCCCAAGCGUUGUUCGGAUUCACUGGGCGUAAAGGGUGCGUAGGCGGUUGGGUAAGUCUGAUGUGAAAUCUCACAGCUUAACUGUGAAACUGCAUUGGAUACUAUUCGGCUAGAGGAAUGGAGGGAGACUGGAAUACUUGGUGUAGCAGUGAAAUGCGUAGAUAUCAAGUGGAACACCAGUGGCGAAGGCGAGUCUCUGGACAUUUCCUGACACUGAGGCACGAAAGCCAGGGAGCAAACGGG
rnacentral:rRNA from 1 species